rnacentral:rRNA from 1 species
AGAGUUUGAUCCUGGCUCAGAAUCAACGCUGGCGGCGCGCUUAACACAUGCAAGUCGCACGAGAAAGGGGCAACCUGAGUAAAGUGGCGCACGGGUGAGUAACACGUGGGUAAUCUACCUCUUAGUGGGGAAUAACCCUGGGAAACCGGGGCUAAUACCGCAUAAUCUCGAGAGAGGAAAGCAGCAAUGCGCUGAGAGAG